GACGAAUGCUGGCUGCGUGCUUAACACAUGCAAGUCGAACGGUGAAAGGGAGCUUGCUCCCUGGAUCAGUGGCGAACGGGUGAGUAACACGUGGGCAACCUGCCCCUCACUCUGGGAUAACUCCGGGAAACCGGGGCUAAUACCGGAUACGACCUGGUGCGACAUCGCACCGGGUGGAAAGAACUUCGGUGAGGGAUGGGCCCGCGGCCUAUCAGCGUGUUGGUGGUGUCACGGCCCACCAAGGCGACGACGGGUAGCCGGCCUGAGAGGGCGACCGGGCACACUGGGACUGAGACACGGCCCAGACUACUACGGGAGGCAGCAGUGGGGAAUAUUGCGCAAUGGGCGAAAGUCUGACGCAGCGACGCAGCGUGAGGGACGAAGGCCUUCGGGUUGUAAACCUCUUUCAGCGGGGACGAAGCGAAAGUGACGGUACCCGCAGAAGAAGCACCGGCUAACUACGUGCCAGCCGCCGCAGUAAAAC
rnacentral:rRNA from 1 species